GAGCGCGACCCACUGCGCGGAGCUGCGCCGCCGUGUGCUGUUGUCGUCUCCUCAGACUGCUGCCGCCGUCGAGCUUCGAGGAGAGAGAAGGAGCUUGCGGAGAAGGUGAGGCGCGAUGGUGGUGGGUUGUUCCGCCACCCCUACUGCCGUCGCCGUCAAAAACUGCUGCCAUGGCCGCCGCCCUCCUAGCUGCCGCAGUGGUUGUGGUCCACUGUGUAUGGUCGCCAGAGAAAUCGUUGUGGCCGCUGAAACCACCGCCGCCGCGGUUGUCAGGGUUUUUCAUCGCCGCUGCUGCUUAAGGUGGCUGCCGGGGCCGCUGCCAAACUGGUUUAGAGCCCGCCGCUAUUUCGUUUCGCUAAUUCAGUAAAGACGCGGAAGUGAC